rnacentral:rRNA from 1 species
UACGGGGGGGGCAAGCGUUGUUCGGAAUUACUGGGCGUAAAGGGCUCGUAGGCGGCCAACUAAGUCAGACGUGAAAUCCCUCGGCUUAACCGGGGAACUGCGUCUGAUACUGGAUGGCUUGAAUCCGGGAGAGGGAUGCGGAAUUCCAGGCGUAGCGGUGAAAUGCGUAGAUAUCUGGAGGAACACCGGUGGCGAAGGCGGCAUCCUGGACCGGCAUUGACGCUGAGGAGCGAAAGCCAGGGGAGCAAACGGG